GAGUGACCGGAGCCAUGUCUUUCUUGCACCCACACCACCACCACCGCCAGAAUGUUCCUGAAGAGAGCUUCAGCAGCAGCGGAGCGCCUCCGCACACUGGGGAGCACACUGUGAGGAUCUUCACCAAGGCGGACGAGAGCUACUCCCUCUCCGUCCGUAAUGGCGAGGUCGUCCUUGCCCCCACCAACCCUAGAGACGAGUACCAGCACUGGAUU
rnacentral:misc_RNA from 1 species